rnacentral:rRNA from 1 species
UACGUAGGGUGCAAGCGUUGUCCGGAAUUAUUGGGCGUAAAGAGCUCGUAGGCGGUUUGUCGCGUCGAAUGUGAAAACCCGGGGGCUCAACCCCGGGCCUGCAUUCGAUACGGGCAGACUAGAGUUCGGUAGGGGAGUCUGGAAUUCCUGGUGUAGCGGUGAAAUGCGCAGAUAUCAGGAGGAACACCGGUGGCGAAGGCGGGACUCUGGGCCGAUACUGACGUGAGGAGCGAAAGCGUGGGGAGCGAAACAGG